GACGUGACUGAAGAAAGAGAUGACAUGAAGGCAUUUGAGCAACCAUAUUCUGCUGAAAUGAUUAAUUUGCAAAAUCAUGCAAACAAAUUCCAGGAAGUUGAUAUUCCCUCCACGAAUGGAGUUACAGACAAUGUUCCAUCCAAUCCCCAUAUCAGUACAAGCUGCAGGAAGGAUCAGAACUGCAGCAGAAUUAUUAAUUCCGAGUCCCCAGCUUCAGAAUUUGCACUUCCAAAAUCUAAUGGGAGUUGUCCAGAAAAUGAUGGCCCAACACCUGCUUAUUGUCACCAUCAGUUACCGUCUUCUAAUGGUUCCCCUAUACAACCCUUGGAGAAUAGUAUCUCGUCUUCUGGAGGUAGCAGUUUGC
rnacentral:misc_RNA from 1 species